rnacentral:rRNA from 1 species
AUUGAACGCUGGCGGCAGGCCUAACACAUGCAAGUCGAGCGGAGCGGCGGAAGGGUGAGUAAUGCCUAGGCAUCUGCCUGGUAGUGGGGGAUAACGUCCGGAAACGGGCGCUAAUACCGCAUAAUAUCAGAUGAGCCUAGGUGGGAUUAGCUAGUUGGUGGGGUAAAGGACUACAAAGGCGACGAUCCGUACCUGGUCUGAGAGGAUGAUCAGUCACACGGGAACGGAGACACGGUCCAGACUCCUACGGGAGGCAGCAGGGGGGAAUAGUGGCCAAUGGGCGAAAGCCUGAUCCAGCCAUGCCGCGUGUGUUAAGAAGGUCUUCGGAUUGUAAAGCACUUUAAGUUGUGAGUCGUUACCAACAGAAUAAGCACCGGCUAACUUCGUGCCAGCAGCCGCGGUAAUUC